UUGUGAUGCGUCACAUAGUUCCUGGCAUGCCAUUGUCCUGAAUUCACCUACUAAUUUUACCCUCAGAGAAAGAGAGAGUCUUUGGAGAGUUGUGAGGAGAUAAGUGACAUAAACUGGCAUGUUCUGAAAGAAUCACUCUGGAUGCUGUGUGGAGAAAACACUGAAAAGAAUUCUAGAGUGAAAGUUUCAUGAAUAUAAGAAGCAAGACAAGGAAGUGGCUUAUGCUUAAGGCCUUAAAGGCAACCACUGUGACAAUCCAGCCAUUCUCUGGAGAAUUCAGCAGAAAGCCAGUUGGAAUCUUUAUAGGGGGAGAAUAAUUGACUCCAUUCAAGUGUUCGCUCCUGUUUCAAUCAACUAUGGCUGAAGAGUGAGGAGACAUUUGGAAUAAAUAUGGCUUCUGGGGGCCCAUUCCUAUGGAUCAGCAGCUGGCUUCUGGAGGCCCAUUCCUGUGAAUCGUCGAUCUCAUAGAAGAUAAUAUUGUUAGAAGGCUUACCUCAUUGAUGCUGAACAUCCUAAAAAGCUUCUGCUGCUUUGAGUCACUGAAAAAGACCAAGAAACAUGAAUUUAAAAAAAAAUUUCAAAUGUUAUAAAAUAAAUAAUAUGAACUCAUUAUACCUACAAUGAAUAAUUUAAAUUCUUCUUUGGUAGUCCAGGUUUAGAAACUAUGAAAACCCUAGAAGAAAACCUAGGCAAUGCCAUUCAGGACAUAGGCACGGACAAAGAUUUCAUGACGAAGACGCCAAAAACAACUGCAACAAAAGCAAAAAUUGACAGAUGGGAUCUCAUUAAACUAAAGAGCUUCCAUACAGCAAAAGAAGCUACCAUGAGAGUGAACAGACAACCUAUAGAAAGGGAGAAAAAUUUUGCAAUCUGUUCAUCUGACAAAGGUCUAAUAUCCAGCAUCUACAAGGAACUUAAAUAAAUUUACAAGAAAAAAACAAACCCAUUAGAAAAUGGGCAAAGGACAUGAAAAGAUACUUCUCAAAAGACAUACAUGUGGCCAACAAUCAUACAAAAAAAACCUCAACAUCACUGAUGAUUAGAAAAAUGCUAAUCAAAACCACAACGAGAUACCAUCUCAUACCUGUCAGAAUGGCUAUUAAUAAAAAGUUAAAAAACAACAGAUGCUGGUGAGGUUGUUGAGAAAAAGGAAUACUGUUAUACUGUUGGUGGGAAUGUAAAUUAGUUCAACCAUUGUGGGAGACAGUGUGGCAUUUCCUCAAAGACCUAGAGGCAGAAAUACCAUUUGACUCAGCAAUCACGUUACUGGAUAUAUACCCAAAGGAAUAUAAAUCAUUCUAUUAUAAAGAUACAUGCAUGCGCAUGUUCACUGCAGCAUUAUUCACAAUAGCAAAGACAUGGAAUCAACCCAAAUGCCCAUCAAUAACACACUAGAUAAAGAAAAUGUGGUAUAUAUACACCAUGGAAUACUAUUCAGCCAUAAAAAGGAAUGAAAUCAAGUCCUUUGCAGGAACAUGAAUGAAGCUGAAGGCCAUCAUCUUCAGCAAACUAACACAGGAACAGAAAAUAAAAUACCACAUAUUCUCACUUACAACUGGGAGCUGAAUGAUGAGAACAUAUGGACACAUAUAGGGGCACAACACACACUGGGGCCUGUUGGAGGGUGCUGGGGGGAGGAGGCAGAGCAUCAGGAAGAAUAGCUAAUGGAUUCUGGGCUUAAUACCUAAGUGAUGAGAUGAUCUGUGCAGCAAACUACCAUAGUACAUGUUUACCUAUGUAACAAACCUGUACGUCCUGCACAUGUACCCCUGAACAUUAAAA
rnacentral:lncRNA from 10 species